CACGCGUCGGCCACUCCACCUCGGGCGCUCUGAAGCCGGCCGCAUGGAGACUGGGGGACGAUGGUCAAGGGACAGAGGAAAAAUGGCAGGGCAGACCCCCUUGGAUUUGCCCACGUGGAGUUUGGAUAUUUACCUGGCUUCUUUGUCAAGUCUUGGGCCUGAUGCAGGUUGCAGAAGUAUGGCAACCGGUUCAUGUAUUCAACAGGUCAGGGGAGCUGUUACCACCGAAGGAAGGAUGAUAGUACUGACAGGACUGAUGGUAAUGAUGAUAUCUAACGUACAUGGAGCAGCUCUAUCUGCCAGACACUAAGCUCACACUCCAAGUGCCUUCUCCCAGAAGACUUGGUACCGGGAUAUCCUGAGAGCCAAAUCAAAAGCUGCUUCCCACGUGGUGCUUAAGGGAGCACUGAAGAAGAGCAAAGGAACUGUGACUUCCUAAGCUCAGGGAAUGGUCAAUAAAUCUCUUUGCUGGCCCGCUGGCAUAGGCUUGUAGUCUCAGCUACUUAUGAGUUGAGGCAGAAGGAUAAGUAGUUCAAGGCCAGCCUUGUCAACUUACCAAAACUGUCUCAAAUUUUUGAAAAAGAAAAGCAGAGUAGGGAAUAUCAGGUAAGGAUAGAAUGCUUACCCAGCAUGCACCAGGUCACAGAGUCAAUCCCUAGAACUGAAGAGAAAAGUGAUCUCUUUAAAAGGAACUAUUUUCUGACUAUCCUGGAAAUGGAUGGUUCUAGAAGAGUUUCAUACUCAACCCUGAGACUUGUGGGAAAUCUCAGAUUUGGAGUCUUCGUAGCUAACCACUUCAGGUAUAGUGUCCCCAACUGGGAUGACAUAUAGGAACCUCACAGUGUCCCCAGUCUCAUGUUCCUUUUGCCUUAGGAAAUCCUUGGGGUCUAAAACUGCACCAACUAUAAGAGAUAACUCCCCUCUCCUCCUUGGAGACCAGGAUUGGUACCAUUAUGUGCAGACUUUAGGCAGGGUGCUCAAGUCCUCCCUCACCCAUCUCUUCUUGUCUAACCUAAGGGAUAAAGAGCUUGCUUUCAAAUGUUAGUAACGCUGGGACAAUGGGCAAGAGAACACUAAUGUUUCGUGACGCAUGAAAUAAAAGGAAAUUGACAUUUUA
ensembl:processed_transcript BC006965 cDNA sequence BC006965